GCACGUCAAGAAUCUGGGUUGGCUUCAAUAACCUUGGAAGUGAAACAUUAUCUUUUGGUGCAUCUCCAUUCUCCAACACACUGCCUGGAACUUCUCCCCAGGCAAAGAUGUCCUUCAGAGAAUCUAUUCCACAUGCCAUGUGUGAUCCUUCAGAAGCUUUCAGUUUAGGCAUUUGGGAGUAAUUCUUUCCAAGUAGAAAUCUAGGUCUGACCAUGUUCUCUGCCUUGGAGUGACGAAUGCUUCUGAGCAAUCCAGACUGCUCUUCGAUACUUUGUUCUGUAUCAACCUAGGACUGCCAUACACAGCAACAAGGCGUGAAGGAGCAUGAUAAGAAGACGGGGACCAUAUGGACUGAUGGAGACAGGUGGGUAAAUCAGAAGAAGUUACUAAAUGGUGUUGAUCAUUGCUGAGGUGGGAUGAUAUAGUGAAGAACUUGAAGUCGAAAGCAACUUCUUGACCGUCGGUAAUUUACCUUGGUAUAUGAGUUUCACGUGGACUUAUUUCCGUAUCGGUUUGAUUUCAAUUAUUAAUAAAUAUUGCGAGAAAUUUCUGUUUGUAGAAAAAGUUCAAAAGUAAAUAAACUUGUUCUCUAGUGCAUUGUGUAAAAAUGUUUUCACUGUUGAGUUUAACAUGAUUGAUCAAAUUUCCCGUA